AGCCGUUCGAGACUAGGACGUUGAUAGGUCAGGUGUGUAAGCGUUGUGAGGCGUUGAGCUAACUGAUACUAAUGACUCGAGAGGCUUAACCAUACAACCCAGAUGGGUUUUG
rnacentral:rRNA from 2 species